UCAACAAAUGGUGUUGGGAAGAUUGGACAGCCACAUUCAGAAGAAUGAAAUGACCAUUUCCUUACACCACAUGCAAGAAGAGACUCAAACUGGAUGAAAGACCUCAAUGGGAGAAAGGAA